rnacentral:rRNA from 1 species
UACGAAGGGGGCUAGCGUUGCUCGGAAUGACUGGGCGUAAAGGGCGCGUAGGCGGAUUAUGUAGUCAGGCGUGAAAUUCCCGGGCUUAACCUGGGGGCUGCGUUUGAUACGCAUAGCCUAGAGUGCGGAAGAGGGUCGUGGAAUUCCCAGUGUAGAGGUGAAAUUCGUAGAUAUUGGGAAGAACACCGGUGGCGAAGGCGGCGACCUGGUCCGCAACUGACGCUGAGGCGCGAAAGCGUGGGGAGCAAACAGG